rnacentral:rRNA from 1 species
CCUACGGGUGGCAGCAGUGAGGAAUAUUGGUCAAUGGGCGGAAGCCUGAACCAGCCAAGCCGCGUGAGGGAGGAAGGCGCAGAGCGUCGCAGACCUCUUUUGCCGGGGGACAAAAGGCCGGACUCGUCCGGUCCUGAGGGUACCCGGAGAAAAAGCAUCGGCUAACUCCGUGCCAGCAGCCGUGGUAAUACGGAGGAUGCGAGCGGUAUCGGGAUUCAUUGGGUUUAAAGGGUGCGCAGGCGGGCCUUUAAGCCGGCGGUGAAAUCGCGGGGCUCAACCCCGGCGAGCCGUUGAAACUGGCGGGCUGGAGUUGGAGAGAAGUACGCGGAAUGCGCGGUGUAGCGGUGAAAUGCUUAGAUAUCGCGCAGAACCCCGAUUGCGAAGGCAGCGUACCGGCUCCACACUGACGCUGAGGCACGAAAGCGUGGGUAUCGAACAGGAUUAGAUACCCGAGUAGUC